GCAAUAGAUACCACCAUGCAAGAGAUGAACCUCCAAGGGUGAGAAGAUGCAGUGGGAGUAGAACAGAACAAAAGUGAAGGCAGAUUUGGGUACUUACUGAGGCAAGCGGGAUAGUGCUACCAUCUUGAUCCGAACACAGAGCACACUUUUGGAGCUCGUCUUUGGAAAUGGUCUUGGGAGACUUGCUCCAUUCCUUUGCAUGCCAUCACUGCCAAAAUGCUAUGUUACAUGAAUGCCUUGUGAUUGAGGACAAAUCAUUUAGUUCAACUGGAUAUUCUGGCCUGUUUAUUCAGUCACUGUAAGUCUAAAUUUCCCCAUUAAUAAAAAGUCAUUAAAAUACUUAAUAUGAGGCUGGGAAAGAAUAUAUGUGAGUGUUAUAAACAAAUACCUGGCAGUCAUUUGCGUAGAUGUCUCUGUUGGGGAGUGAAUUGUUUUGAGAAGUGAGAUCAUA
rnacentral:lncRNA from 1 species